rnacentral:tRNA from 1 species
GCUCCUGUGGCGCAAUCGGUUAGCGCGUGGUCUUAUACAACAGUAUGCAGCGAAGCAAUGCUGAGGUUGUGAGUUCGAGCCUCACCAGGAACA